rnacentral:rRNA from 1 species
GUGGGGAAUAUUGCACAAUGGGGGAAACCCUGAUGCAGCGACGCCGCGUGAAGGAAGAAGGUUUUCGGAUCGUAAACUUCUAUCAGCAAGGAAGAUAAUGACGGUACUUGACUAAGAAGCCCCGGCUAACUACGUGCCAGCAGCCGCGGUAAUACGUAGGGGGCAAGCGUUAUCCGGAUUUACUGGGUGUAAAGGGAGCGUAGGUGGCGAUGUAAGUCAGAUGUGAAAGGCUGGGGCUCAACCCCGGGACUGCAUUUGAAACUAUGUUGCUGGAGUGCAGGAGAGGUAAGUGGAAUUCCUAGUGUAGCGGUGAAAUGCGUAGAUAUUAGGAGGAACAUCAGUGGCGAAGGCGGCUUACUGGACUGUAACUGACACUGAAGCUCGAAAGCGUGGGGAGCAAACAGGA